AAACCAUUGCUCAUUCCCAAAACUUCAUCUUGUUCUUCACCAGCGUUGCUCAAGCCCUAAAAAUCCUUCCCUCCAAGCUUUUUCAUAGUUCUAAUUAUUUUAACAUCGUUGAAGCCAUCGGAGACUCUAUCUCACUAUUCAAGGUCCGUGAUCAUGUUUGCUUCUUCGUUCGGUCUAGUUUCUUAUUGCUGAUGAGAAGAAUCUGAUAAAUGUCCAACUUUGUUGAGAAUCAAAUUGUUACUAAAAUUCAAUGACUGGUUGUUGCCCUUAAGACUACUGUGGAUCAAGGCUUGUAUAUUCAAAAUAUCAAUAGCCUCUGAUAGAUUAUUGAAGAUGCUCUCCAUACUCGCAUUCAUAUUAUCCCUCGUGAUUGGAUGGAAGCGCGCUACUCUUGCUUGAAACAUGCACACGCUUAACCUGCACCAUGAUGGUUGUGACCAUCCCAAAUGGCUCAAGCAAGCUUUUGUUGAUUCAAGUUUUGUUUUUUAACUUCUCAGUUGUUCCUUGUAUCCUAGUCUCCUUCUAGUUUUUUGUUUCUUUUUGUUGUAGUUUCCUAGCUAUUAUCUUUUGAAUAAAAUAACC